rnacentral:rRNA from 1 species
CCCGCUGAACUUAAGCAUAUCAAUAAGCGGAGGAAAAGAAACCAACAGGGAUUGCCCUAGUAACGGCGAGUGAAGCGGCAACAGCUCAAAUUUGAAAUCUGGCUCACGCCCGAAUUGUAAUUUGCAGAGGAUGCUUUUGGUGCGGUGCCUUCUGAGUUCCCUGGAACGGGACGCCACAGAGGGUGAGAGCCCCGUAUAGUUGGACGCCAAACCUUUGUAUAGCACCUUCGACGAGUCGAGUAGUUUGGGAAUGCUGCUCAAAAUGGGAGGUAAACUUCUUCUAAAGCUAAAUACCGGCCAGAGACCGAUAGCGAACAAGUAGAGUGAUCGAAAGAUGAAAAGCACUUUGAAAAGAGGGUUAAACAGUACGUGAAAUUGUUAAAGAGGAAGGGCUCAUGACCAGACUUGUGUCUUGCGAAUCAUCUGGGGUUCUCCCCAGUGCACUUUGCCUGACUCAGGCCAGCACCGGUUUCACCAGGGGCAUAAAGACAGCGGGAACGUAGCUCUUCGGAGUGUUAUAGCCUUCUGUACAAUACCCUUGGGGGGACCGAGGUCCGCGCUCUGCAAGGGUGCUGGCGUAAUGGUUAUCAGCCGCCCGUCUUGAAACACGG